ensembl:lncRNA
AGUGGGCUUCUCUUGCCACGUGUUUCUCUCAGACAAGAGGAAUUCUCCAAGAGGCUCCUCCAUAGCGGGAAGCCCUGGCUGCAGCCAGCCUUCCAGGAACAGAGGCCAGAUAUGCCUGAGCUACACCCGGAUCUGGACCUGGCACACAAGUCACAGUUGCUUCUCUCAUAGCUUGGGUCCGGUUGCCUUCCUGGUUCACCCAGAGACAAAGUCUGAAAGCCCCAACCUGUGUCUGUGGAUUUUAAACCAACAUGGCCCCCAAUCUUCUCUCUGGGCUUCCAAAGAUCAGCACCACUCACAGCUAACCUGUGGAAUAUUCAGGAAACACUCAUUACCUCUCUCUGAUCCAAUCUCCUAUCACUUAGGCUGCCAGAUGGGGAAGUCCCACGAGCCCACCCCAGGCUCCCAGUGGGUCCGACAGCAACAGCUUCUUUAGACAAAGCAUGCGUAUUUAUAUCACAAAAGCAGACUGGAUUGUGCAAUGUCAUUUCAACAACAUAAACAGGCUCAGGAUAGCACAACGUUGUCUUUUCAAAAUAAGCCUGUGGCCCAGGAGUCUCAUCCCCACGAGGAAUUCUUUCUUUUUUUUAAUUCCCAGAUGUGCAGGAUAAGGACACUAAGGCUUCGAGAGUGCAAGCUGGUCUAUUCCCCCAUCUUUCUCUGACAGUUUGAGUCUCCUCAAAUGUAAGCAUACUACCCAG